UUCCAACGUCAUGCGAUAUUCAGAGCCAUUAACUUUGCAAAAUGGCUGCGAGUUCAUUGCAUUACCCACACGCUGUUGAAUCUUCGCCUUGACCUUCAUCAAACUCGAUUCUUAACCCGCAUUCUCUUUGCAUCAUGUUACCUUCCACAUCCAUUGAACCUGCUCAACAUUCAAAUCGCCCACCUCAUUAGCCUCGUCUUGGACAUCAAUGACUCCCUUCCAUUCUUAAGAAGGG
rnacentral:lncRNA from 1 species